ACUCAAAGGAAUAGACGGGGGCCCGCACAAGCGGUGGAGCAUGUGGUUUAAUUCGAUGCAACGCGAAGAACCUUACCUGGGUUAGACAAUAGAGGACCGCCGUAGAGAUACGGUUUUCCCUUCGGGGACCUCUAGUUUAGGUGCUGCAUGGCUGUCGUCAGCUCGUAUCGUGAGAUGUCGGGUUAAGUCCCUUAACGAGCGCAACCCCUAUCCCUAGUUGCCACCAUUAAGUUGGGCACUCUAUGGAGACCGCCGGUGUUAAACCGGAGGAAGGCGGGGAUGACGUCAAGUCCUCAUGGCCUUUAUGUCCAGGGCUACACACGUGCUACAAUGGCAGGUACAAAGGGUUGCCAACCCGCGAGGGGGAGCUAAUCUCAUAAAGCCUGUCUCAGUUCGGAUCGAAGUCUGCAAUUCGACUUCGUGAAGCUGGAAUCGCUAGUAAUCGCGGAUCAGAACGCCGCGGUGAAUACGUUCCCGGGCCUUGUACACACCGCCCGU
rnacentral:rRNA from 1 species